rnacentral:rRNA from 1 species
GUCAACGCGGGGCAAGGACAGGGGUGAAUGAGUGGGGUGCGGUGGUGGGCCGGAAUUCCGGGGCGUAAAGAGUUCGGGGGGGGUUGGUGGCGGUGUUCGUGAAAAAUCACAGCUGAACGGUGGGCGUUCGGGCGAUACGGGCAGACUGGAGUACUGCAGGGGAGACUGGAAUUCCUGGUGUAGCGGUGGAAUGCGCAGAUAUCAGGAGGAACACCGGUGGCGAAGGCGGGUCUCUGGGCAGUAACUGACGCUGAGGAGCGAAAGCGUGGGGAGCGAACAGGAUUAGAUACCCCAGUAGUC